ACGAACGCUGGCGGCGUGCCUAAUACAUGCCAGUCGAGCGGACUUAACAAGCUUGCUUUUUAAGUUAGCGGCGGACGGGUGAGUAACACGUGGGCAACCUGCCUGUAAGACUGGGAUAACUUCGGGAAACCGGAGCUAAUACCGGAUAAUCCUUUUCUACUCAUGUAGAAAAGCUGAAAGACGGUUUACGCUGUCACUUACAGAUGGGCCCGCGGCGCAUUAGCUAGUUGGUGAGGUAACGGCUCACCAAGGCGACGAUGCGUAGCCGACCUGAGAGGGUGAUCGGCCACACUGGGACUGAGACACGGCCCAGACUCCUACGGGAGGCAGCAGUAGGGAAUCUUCCGCAAUGGACGAAAGUCUGACGGAGCAACGCCGCGUGAGUGAUGAAGGUUUUCGGAUCGUAAAACUCUGUUGUUAGGGAAGAACAAGUACGAGAGUAACUGCUCGUACCUUGACGGUACCUAACCAGAAAGCCACGGCUAACUACGUG
rnacentral:rRNA from 1 species